GACGAACGCUGGCGGCGUGCUUAACACAUGCAAGUCGAACGGAAAGGCCCUGCUUUUGUGGUGUGCUCGAGUGGCGAACGGGUGCGUAACACGUGAGUAACCUGCCCUUGUCUUUCGGAUAACUUCAGGAAACUGGGGCUAAUACCGGAUAGGAGCUCCUGCUGCAUGGUGGGGGUUGGAAAGUUUCGGCGGUUGGGGAUGGACUCGCGGCUUAUCAGCUUGUUGGUGGGGUAGUUGCUUACCAAGGCUUUGACGGGUAGCCGGCCUGAGAGGGUGACCGGCGACAUUGGGACUGAGAGACGGACCAGACUCCUACGGGAGGCAGCAGUGGGGAACAUGGCACAAUGGGCGGAAGCCUGAGGCAGCAACGCCGCGUGCGGGAUGACGGCCUUCGGGUUGUGAACCGCUUUCGCCUGUGACGAAGCGGGAGUGACGGUAAUGGGUAAAGAAGCACCGGCUAACUACGUG
rnacentral:rRNA from 1 species